UGAGUACGAGCGGCUACGGCCGCGAAGUGGAUGAUGUCAAGCAUCCAAGAAAAGCCCUAUACCCGUUAAGGCAUGAUGGCCUGUACCCGAAACCGACACAGGUGGGGUGGUAGAGAAUACCGAGGGGCGCGAGGUAACUCUCUCUAAGGAACUCGGCAAAAUGGCCCCGUAACUUCGGGAGAAGGGGUGCCACCGCGGGGUGGUCGCAGUGAAGAGGCCCAGGCGACUGUUUACCAAAAACACAGGUCUCCGCUAAGUCGCAAGACGAUGUAUGGGGGCUGACGCCUGCCCAGUGCCGGAAGGUUAAGGAAGCUGGUCAGCGCAAGCGAAGCUGGCGACUGAAGCCCCGGUGAACGGCGGCCGUAACGAUAACGGUCCUAGGGUAGCGAAAUUCCUUGUCGGGUAAGUUCCGACCCGCACGAAAGGCGUAACGAUCUGGGCGCUGUCUCGGAGAGAGGCUCGGCGAAAUAGAAUUGUCUGUGAAGAUGCGGACUACGUGCACCCGGACAGAAAGACCCUAUGAAGCUUUACUGUAGCUUGGUAUUGUGCUCGGGCUCGGAAUGCGCAGGAUAGGUGGGAGGCUUUGAUCCAUUGCUUGCGGGUGAUGGUGAGCCACUGGUGAGAUACCACUCUUUCCGAGCUAGAGUUCUAACAGCAACCCGUUAUCCGGGUGCUGGACAGUAUCAGGUGGGCAGUUUGACUGGGGCGGUCGCCUCCUAAAAGGUAACGGAGGCGCGCAAAGGUCUGCUCAGGCUGGUUGGAAAUCAGCCGACGAGUGUAAAAGCAGAAGCAGGCUUGACUGUGAGACCUACAAGUCGAACAGGGAGGAAACUCGGCUUUAGUGAUCCGACGGUUCUGCGUGGAAGGGCCGUCGCUCAACGGAUAAAAGUUACUCUAGGAUAACAGGCUGAUCUCCCCCAAGAGUUCACAUCGACGGGGAGGUUUGGCACCUCGAUGUCGGCUCAUCGCAACCUGGGGCUGAAGUCGGUCCCAAGGGUUGGGCUGUUCGCCAUUAAAGCGGUACGCGAGCUGGGUUCAGAACGUCGUGAGACAGUUCGGUCCAUAUCCGGUGCACGCGCAGGAAUAUUGAGAGGAUUUCUCCCUAGUACGAGAGGACCGGGAGGAACGCACCUCUGGUGUGCCAGUUAUCGUGCCAACGGUAAACGCUGGGUAGCCAUGUGCGGAGUGGAUAACCGCUGAAAGCAUCUAAGUGGGAAGCCCACCUCAAGAUGAGUAUUCCCAUGGCAUAAGCCAGUAAGGUCACGGGAAGAACACCCGUUGAUAGGCUCUACGUGGAAGCGCAGUAAUGUGUGAAGCGGAGGAGUACUAAUAGACCGAGGGCUUGA
rnacentral:rRNA from 1 species